AACGAACGUUGGCGGCGCGCCUAACACAUGCAAGUCGGACGCGAAAGGGGGCAACCCCCGGUAGCGUGGCGCACGGGUGAGUAACACGUGGGUAAUCUUCCCUCGAGCGGGGGAUAACCUUCCGAAAGGAGGGCUAAUACCGCAUAUGACCACGACCGGUACGCUGGUUGGGGUAAAAGCAGGCCUCUACAUGUAAGCUUGCACUUGAGGAUGAGCCCGCGGCCCAUCAGCUAGUUGGUGGUGUAACGGACCACCAAGGCGAAGACGGGUAGCUGGUCUGAGAGGAUGAUCAGCCACACUGGAACUGAGACACGGUCCAGACUCCUACGGGAGGCAGCAGUGGGGAAUCUUGCGCAAUGGGCGAAAGCCUGACGCAGCGACGCCGCGUGGGUGAUGAAGGCCUUCGGGUUGUAAAGCCCUGUGGGGAGGGACGAAUAAGUCGUGGCUAAUAUCCACGAUGAUGACGGUACCUCCUUAGCAAGCACCGGCUAACUCUGUGC
rnacentral:rRNA from 1 species